rnacentral:ncRNA from 2 species
AUGUGUCUAACUUCAUAGACUCGUAUAAUAGCAGGGAUAUGGCCUGCAAGUCUCUACCGGAUCGCCGUAAAUGAUCCGACUACGGGUGUCGCAUAAAACGUG